GAUGAACGCUGGCGGCGUGCUUAACACAUGCAAGUCGAACGAUGAAGCUCAGCUUGCUGGGUGGAUUAGUGGCGAACGGGUGAGUAACACGUGAGUAACCUGCCCUUAACUCUGGGAUAAGCCUGGGAAACUAGGUCUAAUACCGGAUAGGAGCGUCCACCGCAUGGUGGGUGUUGGAAAGAUUUAUCGGUUUUGGAUGGACUCGCGGCCUAUCAGCUUGUUGGUGAGGUAAUGGCUCACCAAGGCGACGACGGGUAGCCGGCCUGAGAGGGUGACCGGCCACACUGGGACUGAGACACGGCCCAGACUCCUACGGGAGGCAGCAGUGGGGAAUAUUGCACAAUGGGCGAAAGCCUGAUGCAGCGACGCCGCGUGAGGGAUGACGGCCUUCGGGUUGUAAACCUCUUUCAGUGGGGAAGAAGCGAAAGUGACGGUACCUGCAGAAGAAGCACCGGCUAACUACGUG
rnacentral:rRNA from 1 species